rnacentral:lncRNA from 1 species
UCCUGUUCUGAUUCUGUUUUCAAUCUUAAUUUCUAUUCUUUUUUUUUUUAUAUUUGAAUUUCGAUUCCUUGAAAUUCAAACUAAGUUUUAAAUAAUUUUAUAUUCUUAAUUUUAAUCUUAAAUUUUAUGUAAAUUUUUUUGAAUAACUAAAUUCUCUCUCUUUCUCUCUCUCUCUCUCUCUCUCUCUCAACUUAACAGUAAAAAUAAAAUUAAUUAUUCUUAUCCGAUGUCAUGCCCG